GCCCGAUGUGGAUAUCUGUAGUAAUUCUAGAGCUAAUACAUGCACGCAAGCACCGAUCCUCCGUGAGAAGUGCGCUUUUAUUAGAACAAGACCGGCGGUGAGGAGUAACUACCGUAGCCCCGUCGUGUUGACUCUGGAUAACUUAGCCGAUCGCACGGCCCUGGACGCCGGCGACGCAUCUUUCAAAUGUCUGACCCAUCAGCUGGUUGGCCGGGUAGUGGCCGGCAAAGGAGGUGACGGGUAACAGAGAAUCAGGGUUCGAUUCUGGAGAGGGAGCCUGAGAAACGGCUACCACGUCCAAGGAAGGCAGCAGGCGCGCAAAUUACCCACUCCCGACUCGGGGAGGUAGUGACGAAAAAUAACGAUAGACGACUCGUUCGAGGCUGUCUAAUCGGAAUGAGUAUAGUCUAAAGCCUUAACACGAGGAGCUAGUAGAGGGCAAGUCUGGUGCCAGCAGCCGCGGUAACUCCAGCUCUACAGGCGUAAACGUGAGUUGUUGUAGUUAAAACGCUCGUCGUUGGAUUUGAACCUAGGCCGCGGCCGGUACGGGGCAGAGUUUCCCCGCUAUCGCGGCGGUCGGUCGCAGGCGAGUUUCUCACACACGGCGGAUCCCCUUGGCUGGGCGUCCGCGGGCUCGCGUACGUUACCUUGAACAAAUGAGGGUGUUCAUGGCAGGCUAGCACACGCCUGGAUAGUCUAGCAUGGAAUAACAGAACUCGACUCCGGUCUUUUUCUGGCUGGUCUCUAGGACUCGGAGGGAUGAUCAAUAAGGACGACCGGGGGCGAUAGUACUCCUGCGUUAGAGGUGAAAUUCUUGGAUCGCAGGAUGACUGACCGCAGCGAAAGCAUUCGCCCAGCACGUCCUCAUUAAUCAAGAACGAAAGUUAGAGGAUCGAAGACGAUCAGAUACCGUCCUAGUUCUGACCAUAAACGAUGCCGACAGGCGAUCGGUCGUAAGUACUUUGCAAACCCUUACACAUGACACGGCCGGCAGCCCUCGGGAAACCAAAGUCUUUGGGUUCCGGGGGUAGUAUGGUUGCAAAGCUGAAACUUAAAGGAAUUGACGGAAGGGCACCACCAGGAGUGGAGCUUGCGGCUUAAUUUGACUCAACACGGGGAACCUCACCUGGGCCGGACACUGCAAGGAUUGACAGAUUGAGAGCUCUUUUCUUGAUUCGGUGGGUGGUGGUGCAUGGCCGUUCUUAGUUCGUGGAGCGAUCUGUCAGGUUAAUUCCGAUACGAA
rnacentral:rRNA from 1 species